UACGGGGGGGGCAAGCGUUGUUCGGAAUCACUGGGCGUAAAGCGCACGUAGGCGGAUCUUUUAAGUCAGGGGUGAAAUCCCGAGGCUCAACCUCGGAACUGCCUUUGAUACUGGGGAUCUCGAGUCCGGGAGAGGUGAGUGGAACUGCGAGUGUAGAGGUGAAAAUUCGUAGAUAUUCGCAAGAACACCAGUGGCGAAGGCGGCUCACUGGCCCGGUUCUGACGCUGAGGCGCGAAAGCGUGGGGAGCAAACAGG
rnacentral:rRNA from 1 species